AUACGGAGGGUGCAAGCGUUACUCGGAAUCACUGGGCGUAAAGCGCGCGCAGGCGGUUAUUUAAGUUGGAUGUGAAAGCCUACGGCUCAACCGUAGAACUGCAUCCAAAACUAUUUAGCUAGAGUGUGGGAGAGGAAGAUGGAAUUAGUUGGGUAGGGGUAAAAUCCGUAGAGAUAACUAGGAAUACCAAAAGCGAAGGCAAUCUUCUGGAACACUACUGACGCUGAGGCGCGAAAGCGUGGGGAGCAAACGGGGUUAGAAACCCCAGUAGUCCC
rnacentral:rRNA from 1 species